rnacentral:sRNA from 1 species
AUUGUUAUGUUAGGUCAAGAUUGCUAUGUUAGGUCAAGAUUGUUAUGUUAGGUCAAGAUUGCUAUGUUAGGUCAAGAUUGUUAUGUUAGGUCAUGAUUGCUAUGUUAGGUCAAGAUUGCUAUGUUAGGUCAAGAUUGUUAUGUUAGGUCAAGAUUGCUAUGUUAGGUCAAAAUUGCUCUUAGGUCAAGAUUGCUAUGUUUGGUCAAGAUGGCUAUGUUUGGUCAAGAUGGCUAUGUUUGGUCAAGAUGGCUAUGUUAGGUCAAAAUUGCUCUUAGGUCAAGAUUGCUAUGUUAGGUCAUGAUUGCUAUGUUAGGUCAAGAUUGCCAUGUUAGGUCAAGAUUGCUAUGUUAGGUCAAGAUUGCUAUGUUAGGUCAAGAUUGCUAUGUUAGGUCAAGAUUGCUAUGUUAGGUCAAGAUUGCUAUGUUAGGUCAACACUUAUGACAUAGAUAUAUACAUUGUUUCUGACAGACACAAAGAUGUUUCAAGAAAGAAAGAAGUACACAGAUCUGACGAUAUCAAGAAAUCGCGGCUGGAUGAGGCUGGACCAUCAGAUGGUUAUACAGAAAAGACAGAAGAUGCUAAAGUGACUAAGACAGAAGAAGUGUCCACAAGUAAAGAUAUCUGGAGCCAGCCUGUUGUUUUAACUGAGGAUAAAUCAAGAGAGGAUGAAUUUGACAGUUAUUUCAAGGACAUGUUUUUAUGAAGUCUUUAUUAACAAUUAAUUUUCUGCCCAUGUCUGUGUGAUUUGAGUUAUCCACAUUAUGAAAGUUGAUAAAUAUAUUUCUUAUAAAACGUGAAGACCCCCAGUAAAAAGUUGACUUAGUUGUAUUGAAUUUAUUGCAUAUAAUUAGAUUUAUGUUGGUGUGGUGACAAAAUGACGACAGAAAAAAAUAUUUGUUUUUAAUUGUUAGGUGACAUUAGGAUGAAAUGAAAAUGUAAAUCUCAUAGCAGUAAAUAUACAAUAAAAUUUGAACAAUGAUAAAUGUAUGAUAAUAUACAUAAUAGUUUCUAAUAAC